CCUACGGGAGUCAGCAGUGGGGAAUAUUGGACAAUGGGGGAAACCCUGAUCCAGCGACGCCGCGUGAGUGAAGAAGUAUUUCGGUACGUAAAGCUCUGUCAGCAGGAAAGAAAAUUACGGUACCUGACUAAGAAGCCCCGGCUAACUACGUGCCAGCAGCCGCGGUAAUACGUAGGGGGCAAGCGUUAUCCGGAUUUACUGGGUGUAAAGGGUGCGUAGACGGCAGCGCAAGUCUGGAGUGAAAUGC
rnacentral:rRNA from 1 species